CCGCUGAGGGCUCGGCGCUUCCCGCCGCCGCCGUCGCCGCCUCAGGGCCGCCGUCGCCGGCGAGAGGUGCUCCCGCUGAGCCGGGCAGCUUCCCUGCCCCUGUCGGUGCCUCCGAGCCGGCGCUGAUGGACAGAUACGUAGUUAAACGUCCCCCCGAGGAGGCCGGGCGCGGCGGGAAGAGGCCGCGGCCGGAGCAGCCCGGCUGGCAGGAGAUCCGCGCUGAGGGCCUGAACUGCGACUAUCGCCUCCUCUUCGGCAAGGCCGAGGCUGACGAGAUUUUCCAGCAGCUGGAAGAGGAGGUGGAGUACUUCGAAGCUGAAAUGACAAAACUGCACGUGUUUGGCAAGUGGCAUGACAUUCCAAGGAAGCAGGUCACCUAUGGAGACCCCGAGUUAACAUACACUUACUCGGGUGUUACCUUCUCUCCUAAGCCAUGGAUCCCAGUCCUGACGCGCAUCAGAGACCGUGUCGCUUUGCACACAGGACAUGCUUUUAAUUUUGUUCUCAUUAACAGGUACAAAGAUGGUGGAGACCACAUCGGUGAACACCGAGAUGAUGAGAGAGAACUGGUCCCACGCAGCCCCAUUGCAUCUGUGUCCUUUGGAGCUUGCAGGGACUUUGUUUUCAGGCACUGUGAGUCCAGAGGGAAAAAUGCCCCACGCCACAUCAAGCCCAUCAAGCUGCAGCUGGCCCAUGGCAGCCUUCUGCUGAUGAAGCACCCCACCAACGUGUACUGGUACCACAGCGUGCCUGUCCGCAGGGGAGUUCUUGCCCCGAGAGUCAACCUCACGUUCCGCAAAGUGAUGGCUGUAGCCAGCAAGUGACGUGUUCAGCAGUCAAGCACCGGCUCUUUUGUGCCUGAAGACAGAAGCUUUCUUCCCCUGAUAUAACUCUCAGGUUCUUGUUCAGUUGCUGUCUCUGAUGAUCCACAGUACUAGAUGAACAAAUCAAGCCAGGAUUGGAGGUGGCUUACUUGGGAUUGCAUUCUGACUGCCUGAAAGCUAUCACCUUCCAUGCUGACUGGAUCCUGCUGAAAUGAAGAAAGACCAUUCCAAGUCCCCAGCAUGUCUUGUGGAAUCAAGCAGUGAGGAGUGCCUUGGUUGGACCAGCUCAGUCUUUGCAGAUGGAUGCACAGACACUGAGGGAGCUUCAGCAGUAUCCCAUAGAAAAGGAGAGCCAAAAUACAUUUUAAAUGAAGAGAAAGAGCUGUUCAAGUUAAAAGCACACUGACCAAUGGGUUACCUUCACCUCCUUACCCUGGGUAACUGGACUGCUUAAUCUGGCUCUGCAUGUGCAAUCUCAGUACUGCUUGCUGAAGGAAUAGCUCAUCCUAAAGCUACCCACGUGAGUGGAUUGCCAGCACAUGAUAGCUGUGGUCCUCAAUAGUAGGUAUCAUCAGACUGCCAUGCUUCUGUCUCAUAAGACAGCUGUUAACCCCACAAAGUGGAUCACACUUAGUUGCUUUCACGUAUUCAUACUACAAGACACACAUUGUUGUACCUGGUGCUCACAGUGUUUGCAAACCAUGUUACUGGUCAGCCUUCCGUGAAAAGGAUGCUGAGAUUUCCAGUGAUGUGCCACAGGGGGAAGAGAACCUGCAACACAAAGUUGAAAGUGUCCUUUUAUUUCCCAACCAUCUGUGUCCAUCACUACGGUUCCACAGUUCUGGACCACGGUAACAGAAGUAACUGCUCUAGAACAUGUUCUGUCCCACUGAGACAUAAUUAAUAGGGGCUUUUUAAGUAGCUGAUGAGAUACAUUUCAGUCCAACACAAAGAUCAAUUAAUAUUAUCCCCUUAAUCACCAAAGUGACUACACUAUGACUGAAUAUUCACAUUUCAUAACAGAAAAAAGCGUACCUCUUGUUCUGCAGCUUAUUUGCUUUUGGGUUAUUUCUGGCUGCUACAGAGGAAGAUAAAACAUUUCAUUAACCCCAUCUCAGAAAGCAUUAACUAUGUUCUUAUUUCAUCCCUGAUAGCCUUUACUGACAUAAGAACAACUAUGGGAGUUUUAGUGUCUCUUUGCAUUUGAGGAAGGUUAAAAAGCCUGGUAUGCAAUGAAUUUAUAACUGACUAAAAGAUGACUUCUGAUUGUAUCAGUAAUUAAUCUGCAGAAUUCCCUGCCCCACAGUACUGAAAUAAAAGCCCUCCAGAUCUCAUGAACCUUAUGUUCCAUGGAUUUAGGAUUGCAAAAGCUCUCAUGACAAUGGCAUCACUGCAAACUCAGAGACAUUUGCUGGCAAAAGCCACUUUUCGUUCUUUAGAUUGCCUGAGCUGAUUCACUGCUGUCAGAGGACUACAGAACAGCUCCAUAAACAUCAGGAAACUUCAGUAUCUGCAGAGACACUCUGUACUUGACACACACAGGAAUUGUGGGCAGACUGCACAAACUCCUGGUACUGAAACACCAGCCCUAAGGAAGUCACCUCCAGCGAAUGCACAUCGAACAGAUGCGUCACACGUGGCUGACGAUCCCGUUCGUCUUCCAGGGAAGAGGUAAGGACAUGAAACAGUUCAUGAGCAUCCUGUUGAACAGAGGCAUAAGACUCAGAGGAAGCAAAACCAAAAGACAUCCAACCAUACACCAGAAGUACUGAUACACAUUAAAACUACAUCAUGAAGGGGAAAGGUGCUGCUUAGAGCCCACUCCGUGUGUCCAUGGUAACCAUUUGUGCAUCUGCUGAACCUCUGCAAAGCUGCUUUCCAAAAAACUCAACUUUGUAAGAGCUCACAUGAUGAAAAAUGCUCUGGGCCACAGCAACUCUAAAGAGACUUGCAGGGAAAAAAGGGAAAUUGGAUGCACAAAUGGCUGCUUCCCUUGAUUU